rnacentral:ncRNA from 1 species
GUAAAAAUUUUAUAAGAAUAUGAUGUUGGUUCAGAUUAAGCGCUAAAUAAGGACAUGACACAUGCGAAUCAUACGUUUAUUAUUGAUAAGAUAAUAAAUAUGUGGUGUAAACGUGAGUAAUUUUAUUAGGAAUUAAUGAACUAUAGAAUAAGCUAAAUACUUAAUAUAUUAUUAUAUAAAAAUAAUUUAUAUAAUAAAAAGGAUAUAUAUAUAAUAUAUAUUUAUCUAUAGUCAAGCCAAUAAUGGUUUAGGUAGUAGGUUUAUUAAGAGUUAAACCUAGCCAACGAUCCAUAAUCGAUAAUGAAAGUUAGAACGAUCACGUUGACUCUGAAAUAUAGUCAAUAUCUAUAAGAUACAGCAGUGAGGAAUAUUGGACAAUGAUCGAAAGAUUGAUCCAGUUACUUAUUAGGAUGAUAUAUAAAAAUAUUUUAUUUUAUUUAUAAAUAUUAAAUAUUUAUAAUAAUAAUAAUAAUAAUAUAUAUAUAUAAAUUGAUUAAAAAUAAAAUCCAUAAAUAAUUAAAAUAAUGAUAUUAAUUACCAUAUAUAUUUUUAUAUGGAUAUAUAUAUUAAUAAUAAUAUUAAUUUAUUAUUAUUAAUAAUAUAUUUUAAUAGUCCUGACUAAUAUUUGUGCCAGCAGUCGCGGUAACACAAAGAGGGCGAGCGUUAAUCAUAAUGGUUUAAAGGAUCCGUAGAAUGAAUUAUAUAUUAUAAUUUAGAGUUAAUAAAAUUAAUUAAAGAAUUAUAAUAGUAAAGAUGAAAUAAUAAUAAUAAUUAUAAGACUAAUAUAUGUGAAAAUAUUAAUUAAAUAUUAACUGACAUUGAGGGAUUAAAACUAGAGUAGCGAAACGGAUUCGAUACCCGUGUAGUUCUAGUAGUAAACUAUGAAUACAAUUAUUUAUAAUAUAUAUUAUAUAUAAAUAAUAAAUGAAAAUGAAAGUAUUCCACCUGAAGAGUACGUUAGCAAUAAUGAAACUCAAAACAAUAGACGGUUACAGACUUAAGCAGUGGAGCAUGUUAUUUAAUUCGAUAAUCCACGACUAACCUUACCAUAUUUUGAAUAUUAUAAUAAUUAUUAUAAUUAUUAUAUUACAGGCGUUACAUUGUUGUCUUUAGUUCGUGCUGCAAAGUUUUAGAUUAAGUUCAUAAACGAACAAAACUCCAUAUAUAUAAUUUUAAUUAUAUAUAAUUUUAUAUUAUUUAUUAAUAUAAAGAAAGGAAUUAAGACAAAUCAUAAUGAUCCUUAUAAUAUGGGUAAUAGACGUGCUAUAAUAAAAUGAUAAUAAAAUUAUAUAAAAUAUAUUUAAUUAUAUUUAAUUAAUAAUAUAAAACAUUUUAAUUUUUAAUAUAUUUUUUUAUUAUAUAUUAAUAUGAAUUAUAAUCUGAAAUUCGAUUAUAUGAAAAAAGAAUUGCUAGUAAUACGUAAAUUAGUAUGUUACGGUGAAUAUUCUAACUGUUUCGCACUAAUCACUCAUCACGCGUUGAAACAUAUUAUUAUCUUAUUAUUUAUAUAAUAUUUUUUAAUAAAUAUUAAUAAUUAUUAAUUUAUAUUUAUUUAUAUCAGAAAUAAUAUGAAUUAAUGCGAAGUUGAAAUACAGUUACCGUAGGGGAACCUGCGGUGGGCUUAUAAAUAUCUUAAAUAUUCUUACA